UGAUAUGAUGUACCUAGAUGAAAAUAUAGAUGUACUGCCACAAAUAACCAUACACAUAUAUGUACAUACACUGUGCUCCCUCCUGCCAAGACUGUCUUAAUUUGGGAAUCAUUGUAAGUACAAGGAUUUUAUGACUGUGUAAUGAAACAGCAGCAGAAUAGCAACCAAUCUCUGACCCUAUGUCUGGUAUUUUAAUUACUCUCUCAAGUCACUUUCUAGUGACUGUGUUGUAUCCAGGAGCCUGACCUACUCAGUUUUGUCGGGAAUGUUCAAAUGUUUUCUAGCUUUUAGAUUAUUUAUUACAAUGGAAAUUUCAGGGUUUUUUUUUUUUUUUUUUUUUUUUUUUUUUGCUGGGCAGACAGGUGAAAGGAUGUUUUGUUGAAGCAGACACGGGUUACA
rnacentral:lncRNA from 1 species